CAUGACUGGGGUGAAGUCGUAACAAGGUAGCCGUAGGGGAACCUGCGGCUGGAUCACCUCCUUA
rnacentral:rRNA from 16 species